UUUGGUGGUCAUGGCGCGAGUGAAACACCCGAUCCCAUUCCGAACUCGUCCGUUAAGCACCGCUGCGCCGAUGGUACUGCGUCUUAAGACGUGGGAGAGUAGGUCGCCGCCAAAC
rnacentral:rRNA from 1 species